rnacentral:lncRNA from 1 species
ACAUAGAAUAUAUGAGUACGGUGACUUGAUACUAACUACUCAAUUGCCAUGAAAUCUUUGAAUGUUCUUUGAUACAAUUUCUACCUAUAAAACACAACACAAACAAAAACACACACACACACACACACACACACACACACACACACACAGAGGAGAGAUCCUAAAGCAUGUAGAAGAACACAAAAAGAGUAAAAACCAUCAAUUAAAUUGAUACUAACUACCUAAUUGCCACGAAACCUUUGAAUGUUCUUUGAUACAUCCUAAAGCAUGGCUCUUUCUACUACUUUUUGCAGUUGCAAGAGAUUGGACCCCCUAAAAUCAGGGUAGUUAUCAAGAAGUAAGAAAUUCUGAGGGCAUUCAAUUACUCACAGCGACUUGAAUGAAAUGGCGGAGAAUAUGAAGAUGUUGAUAAGAUGAAACCCUCUGGACUCCAGUUGAGGGUUAUGCCAUCCUCUAACAGACCUCUUAUCGUGGAGUAACUUAGAUUCUGGGAUUCAUAAUCGCCGGUGAAAUCUAUGUAAGUAUCAUCUGCAACAUAGCAGCCCUUGUGGAGAUCACCAACUGAUAGUGAGCCCAGUAGAACAUAUGAGUAUGACGCAUCCUUGUUGCUGGCGUUCCUGCAAGAAACUGUAGCUAUGUACAGAGAAUCAUUUACAAGAACUGAACAAUUCAAGAAGAAAACACUAGUGUGAAAAUCUUGAUAAUAAAGUUGCACAUUUGUGCCGUCAAUGGUUCUAUUCACCAAGUAUGAAUCGCUAGAGAAGUAGGGAGGUACAUCAACGCUAGAGAAGUAGUGAGGUACGUAAGAACAAUUAUCUCCAAAUAUAUCAGGAUCAACUAUUCUGAUUGAAUAGUCAUCAUAAAUAAUACUCUCUACAAAAUACUUCUUUGAAAACAAUUCUAUAGUGGUCUGAUUCUUUUCACAGAACAGUUGAAACGGUGAAUCUCCACAAAAUUCAAGAUCAUUUUGCAAGCAGAACGGAUAAGAGAUAUUUGGGAUAUUUCCACAGUCGCUUGCACAGCUGUAUCGAGGAACCAAGGUACAGCCCGCAAGAAGAAGGUAUACUAUUUUAACGACUGACAGGGAGAACUCCAUGGUCAGAGAGCUCAGAGCACUCUGUUUCUGGUGAAGUUUUGCAUCUUCUAUAAAUAGAGAACAAAAGAGCAAAGUCGAAUUGGCAUCCCGGAAAUUUCUCUUUUGAAAGUCGCGGCAACUCCAAUUGGUUGAUUAUUGCAGUCAAGGUAAUCACCUAUAGACUUUGAAAAGUCAAGAAAUGACAUUUCAACAAAAGGAAAUAGAAGUCAAGGGUGAUUGGCACAUUGAGGAAAAGUACAUGAUCUUGGUGCCCAUACAUUUUACUUAAUUCUCACUUCACGGACCUUUGUUAUCUCCUCCCCCAUCUUCAACAGCUCAACUGGAGAACAGAGAUGGGCUACUUGGAGAAAUCCUUAGCCUUUGUGAUCAUCUUUCUGGUUCUUCGAGCCAAGAAAGCCUACUGCAGUGACUGCUCAGUUUCCCCGUGUUCACCACAAGGUCCUAGUAUAAGGUUCCCCUUUUGGAAAGUGGGUCAACCUCAGCAUUGUGGCUACCCCGGAUUCAAGCUAUCAUGCAAGGGAAACCAAACUGUUCUACUUCUUCCGUCUUUCGGUGAAGUUUUUGUAACACACAUAUAUUAUGAGCGAAACGAGCUCACCAUUGAUGUCGGCCCCAACAAUUGCACAUAUGACUUCUUCUUGCGCUUCAACUCCUCGGCAACUCCUUUCUCCUACUACCCGUAUUUUCAUCCUGAAAAUCCUCAGUACACAUACAUGAAUUGUUCUAGCAAUAAAACCUCUGAUGACCUUUUUCCAGUUCCUUGUAUGAGUAGCACCAGCAGCAAAUCAGGAUUUUAUGUUUACAUAGUACCUUCAGCCGUGCAACUGACUAUGUUGCCGGGGUAUUGCGAGCCAAUAGGAAAUAUAUCAGCCCCUUAUUUUUUAACUCCCAACUCCGCGGAUUAUUCACCAUCAUACUUUUAUCCUUAUUACAACUUCACCAAUUCGAUUCUGAGUCUUGCUUGGAGUUUGCCAGGAUGUGAAAUUUGCUUUAACUGUGGAUUCAAGAGCAACAUAAGUAAUGAGACUUACUGUUUUGAUCCACCCUAUGAAGAAGGCUCCUUUUAUCCUGACAACACAGGCAGCAACUCAGGCACAUAAAUUGCUCUUUCAGUAAUUAAUUUUCCUUUCUAUCUGGAUAAAUUGAUUUUGGCUUUGAAUUUGCUGUUUGUAGUUCAUUGAAUAGUUUAUAUAUGAUGUGAAUUAAUUCCUUGUUGGAAGCAAAAUCUGGCCAGCAGCUGUUCUAGUUCUCUUACAAAUAACUACUUAAUUAACUGGAGUCGUACGAUGCAGUUAUUGUUCUUCAUGAUGUUAAGUAGGUUGCAAUGACAAAAUUGAGCACCAACAGCUUGAUGUGUUUACUAUUCUUUUGUUGCUUCACAGUCUAACUAUGCUCCCUCAGAUUAUACCUUGAUAGAAACCUCCAUUAAAAAAUAAUUUUGAGAGAAGCUAGCCCUUUCCUUCAUGAUUCACGAUUGCUCGAAGCUAAUCUCUCUUACUGUAUUCUUUUUCAGGAAACAACACAAAGCAUUUGAUAAUAGGUGAAGUCCCUUAAAUUACAUUGUGUUUAAUUAGCUUCGAACUUGAUUAUUAUCUUGGAUUCUUGAGUAUCUUGCUAACUAUUCUCCGGCGUACUACAGGUGUUUGCACUGGCUCCCUCUUCCUGGUAGCAGUAACAGCUGCGAUAAUUAGUGCCUACUAUUUGAGAAGGCGUGGUAGGAAGAAAGGAACGGAGAAUCAGACCAGCGUUGAGAGGUUCUUAGAAGAAUACAAGUCCCUUCGACCCGCCAGGUAUUCCUACGCUGACAUCAAGAAGAUCACCGAUCAUUUUAAGUCCAAGCUGGGCGAAGGUGGAUUCGGCAGCGUCUUCAAAGGCACGCUGCCGAGCGGGCUGCCGGUCGCCGUGAAGGUUCUGAAGAAGAACGCCGGAGGAGGCGACGGAGGAGAGUUUGUGAACGAAGUCGGCACGAUCGGCAGAAUCCACCACGUAAAUAUUGUUCGCCUUCUGGGCUUCUGCGCCGACGGAUUGCGAAGAGCUCUGAUCUAUGAGUUCAUGCCGAACGAGUCNACCUUUCAACAAAAGGAAAUAGAAGUCAAGGGUGAUUGGCACAUUGAGGAAAAGUACAUGAUCUUGGUGCCCAUACAUUUUACUUAAUUCUCACUUCACGGACCUUUGUUAUCUCCUCCCCCAUCUUCAACAGCUCAACUGGAGAACAGAGAUGGGCUACUUCGAGAAAUCCUUAGCCUUUGUGAUCAUCUUUCUGGUUCUUCGAGCCAAGAAAGCCUACUGCAGUGACUGCUCAGUUUCCCCGUGUUCGCUGCAAGGUCCUAGGAUAAGCUUCCCCUUUUGGAAAGUGGGUCAACCUCAGCAUUGUGGCUACCCCGGAUUCAAGCUAUCAUGCAAGGGAAACCAAACUGUUCUACAACUUGCGUCUUUCGGUGAAGUUUUUGUAACAUCCAUAUAUUAUGAGCAAAAUGAGCUCACCAUUGAUGUCGGCCCCAACAAUUGCACAUAUGACUUCUUCUUGCGCUUCAACUCCUCAGCAACCCCUUUCUCCUACUACCCAUACUUUCCUCCUGAAACUACUCAGUACACGUACACAAAUUGUUCUAGCAAUAUAACCUCUGAUGACCUUUAUCCAGUUCCUUGUAUGAGUAGCACCAGCAGCAAAUCAGGAUUUUAUGUUUACGUAGUACCUUCAGCCAUGCAACUGACUAUGUUGCCGGGGUAUUGCCAGCCAAUAGGAAAUAUAUCAGUUCCUUAUCUUUUAACUCCCAACUCCGCGGAUUAUUCAUCAUCAUUUGAUCCUGAUUACCCUUUCACCGAUUCGGCUCUCAAUCUUGCUUGGAGUUUGCCAGGAUGUGAAAGUUGCUUUAACUGUGGAUUCAAGAGCAACGCAAGUAAUGAGACUUACUGUUUAGAUCCACCCUAUGAAGAAGGCUCCUUUUAUCCAGACAACACAGGUGGCAACUCAGGUACAUAAAUUGCUAUUUCAGUAAUUAAUUUUCCUUUCUAUCUGGAUAAAUUGAUUUUGGCUUUGAAUUUGCUGUUUGUAGUUGAUUGAAUAGUUUACAUAUGAUGUGAAUUAAUUUACUUAAUUAAUCGGAGUCUUACGAUGCAGUUAUUGUUCUUCAUGAUGUAAAGUAGGUUGCAUGACAAAAUUGAGAACCAACAGCUUGAUGUGUUUACUAUUCUUUUGUUGCUUUACAGUCUAACUAUGCUCCCUCAGAUUAUACCUUGAUAGAAACCUCCGUUAAAAAAAAUACUUUUGAGAGAAGCCCUUUUCUUCAUGAUUCAUGAUUGAUCGAAGCUAAUUUCUUUUACUAUAUUAUUUUUCAGGAAACAACACAAAGCAUUUGAUAAUAGGUGAAGUCCCUUGAAUCACAUUGUGUUUAAUUAGCUUCGAACUUGAUUAUUAUCUUGGAUUCUUGAGUAUCUUGCUAACUAUUCUCCGGCGUACUACAGGUAUUUGCAUCGGCUCCCUUUUCCUGGUAGCAGUAACAGCUGCGAUAAUCAGUGCCUACUAUUUGAGAAGGCGUGGUAGGAAGAAAGGAAUGGAGAAUCAGAAUCAGACCAGCGUUGAGAGGUUCUUAGAAGAAUACAAGUCCCUUCGACCCACCAGGUAUUCCUACGCCGAUAUCAAGAAGAUCACCGAUCAUUUUAAGUCCAAGCUGGGCGAAGGUGGAUUCGGCAGCGUCUUCAAAGGCACGCUGCCGAGCGGGCUGCCGGUCGCCGUGAAGGUUCUGAAGAAGAACGCCGGAGGAGGCGACGGAGGAGAGUUUGUGAACGAAGUCGGCACGAUCGGCAGAAUCCACCACGUAAAUAUUGUUCGCCUUCUGGGCUUCUGCGCCGACGGAUUGCGAAGAGCUCUGAUCUAUGAGUUCAUGCCGAACGAGUCUUUAGAGAAGUUCAUUUCCUCGUCGUCGCGUUCUGGGGAGGGGGGCCCGGGCCCGAACGCCGCGCUGAGUUGGUCGAAGCUGCUGGACAUUGCGGUCGGCAUUGCCAGGGGAAUGGAGUAUCUUCAUCAGGGAUGCAACCAGAGAAUCCUCCAUUUCGACAUCAAGCCCCACAACAUACUGCUGGACCACAACUUCAGCCCCAAGAUCUCUGAUUUCGGGCUGGCCAAGCUAUGCUCCAAGGAGCGGAGCAUGGUGUCGAUCAGCGCCGCGAGAGGAACCGUCGGCUACAUUGCGCCGGAGGUGCUAUCGAGGAACUUCGGAAAUGUUUCCUACAAGUCCGACGUCUACAGCUUCGGAAUGCUGCUGCUGGAGAUGGCCGGCGGGAGGGAUAUUAUUAUUAAUAAAAGCAACGGGAUGACGACGAUGACGGAGGCCCCCCUCCUGGAGUCUUCGAUUUAUAAUAAUAAUAACAGCAGCUGUUUAUGUGGGACUCUCACUGCUGGAGACGAGGAGGACGAGGCAACACUGAUAGCGAGGAAGCUGACGAUAGUGGGUUUAUGGUGCGUACAGUGGCAUCCGGUGGAUCGGCCUUGCAUGAAGGUCGUGGUUCAGAUGCUGGAAGGGAGCGUACAGAGUCUCCAGAUGCCCCCUGAUCCAUUUGCCUCCCUUGGGUCGGCCCCGCAGACUGAACUCGCAGGUCCACCUGCCAUCGCGUCUCAGGGCCCCAACUUGCAAGUAAUAACUGAAGAAGGAGAAGUAAUAACGGAAGAAGGAGAAGAAGGCGGAGUCGGAGGAGAUGCGGGAACAAAUUAUUAACCCGAAACACUAGGUUCUCAUAGCUUUGCAGAAAUUCCCUUUGAAAUAAAUCGUCACUUUCUUUCUUAUUAUGGUGUCCAUCCGCCUUAGUUCUUUCCCCUGCCCUUUUUGCCUUCUUUUGNAUGAUCAAAGGGUAUAUCUAACGGUAGAAAACUCAAUAGUACCAAAGGCUUGGUACUAUCAAUAGUAUAGUAGCCGGACUCUACAUAUAUAUAUAUAUAUAUAUAGUGUGUCUACUAUACUUUCGAAAGUACCGGGACCUCCGUGCUUGUAAGUUGUUUCGAUGAUAGGACAUCCGAUUCAACGAUCAGCUCCAUUAGGUAAAAUCUACCCUAUUGGAACUAUCAAGAAACCAAAUUUUAUAAUUUUUUGACAUCAUUUACUAAGCUAAGCGAUCAAAAUGUCCCAAAAAUGACUAUUUUAAUGGCCGAUGCGACACAUUUUUAAGUUCAACGAUGUAGAAGUAUCCAAAUUACAUGAAAUUUAAUAGAAAAUUCUACUUAACGUCAAUAGCAAGAUCAAUGCUUUCGAUUUCAAAUUUGAGUCCUUUAUCAUUAUUUUUUAUGAGAUUUUUAUUUUCAGCCAUUCAUUUUGAGACUACUUGUUCAAUAGGCAAACGAAGUCAAAAAAUUAUGAAAUUUGGUUUCAAAAUAGUUCCAAUAGCGUAGAUUAUAUCUAACGAAACCGAUCGCAGAAUCAGACGCCCCAUCAUCGAAAACAACUUACAAGUACGGAGGCCCCCGUACUUUCGAAAGCAUAGAAGCCUAUAUAUAUAUAUAUAUAUAUAUAUAUAUAUAUAAUUGAGCUCCUAUGCUUUUUAAAAAUAUCAAGUUAUUGGUGCUUAUAGAUUUAAGCCAUUGGAUUAAGAGAUAUGCGAUUAGGAUGAUGUGGGCCCCCUAGGGUUGAGUGGGUGGUUGGUUNCAUAUAUAUAUAUAUAUAUAUAUAUAUAUAUGAUUGAGCUAGAAUAUUUUUAGAAGCACCAACUCCUUAGUGCUUCUAGGUUUCUAACCCUUGAAUCUACUCCUUGAUUACUAAUAGUUUUUAGAUCAAACACUAUUCCACCUACCACCAUCAUCUCAACCCUACAUCUCUCCAUCCAAUGACUAAAAACUCAAAAGCACCGCUUACUUGGUGCUUUUGGAUGUAUUCUAGCUCAACUCUCUCUCUCUCUCUCUCUCUCUCUCUCUCUCUAUAUAUAUAUAUAUAGUAGGUCAUGUGUGCUAUUAGGAGCACGGAGGCCAACGUGCUCCUAAGCUGUUUUCGAUGAUGGAGCUUCCAAAUCGACGAUCGGCUCCGUUAGACUUAAUCUAGCGUAUUUGAACUAUCUAGAAAAUAAUUUUUUGUGAUUUUUCGGUAUCAUUUUUAUAGCGAUCGAAAGGGUUCAAAAUCAACAAUUUUUAAUGAUUGAUGUAUACUAUUUGCAAGUUUAACGGUGUAGAAGUAUCCAAAUCAAAUAAAAUUUUGAUAGAAAAUUUUUUAUACUAUUUAUAGCAAGAUCAAUAUGUUUGAUCGAAAAUUUUAAUGCUAUAUCACCACUUUUUGUGAGAUUUUUAUUUUCAGCCGUUGAUUUUGAACCCUUUCGAUCGUUAGGUAAAUGAUAUCGAAAAGUCACAAAAUUUAUUUUCUAGAUACUUCAAAUAUGUUAGAUCAAAUCUAACAGAGCCGAUCGUCGAUUCGGAAGCUCCAUCAUCGAAAACUGCUUAGGAGCACGGAGUCCUCCGUACUCCUAAUAGCACACAAGACUUACUAUAUAUAUAUAUAUAUAUAUAUAUAUUAUAUAUUUGAGCUAGAUACUCUCAAAAUGAGGUGGUUGCUUUUUGGUUUUAGCCAUCGAUUGGAGAGAUGAUGGUGGUAGUUUGGUGCGUAGGCGGGGGUGGUCGGUGGCGUAGUUUUUGAUCCAUAUAUAUAUAUAUAUAUGUAUAUGUAUAUGUAUAUAUAUAUAUAUACAUGUAUAUAUAUAUAUAUACAUAUACAUAUACAUAUAUAUAUAUAUAUACAUAUAUAUAUCAGUGGGUUGGUAUGCUUAUGGAGCACGGAGCCCUCCGUGCUUCCAAGUUGUUUUCGAUGUUUGGACUUUCGAAUCAACGAUCGGCUCCGUUAGAGUUGAUCUAGAGUAUUUGAAGUACCUAGAAAAUAAACUUUAUGAUUUUUCGAUAUCAUUUGCCUAGUGAUCGAAGGGGCUCAAAAUCAAUAAUUUUAUUUUUCUCUUUUUAUUAUCCAUUUCGGGGUAUUUUUUUCGUUAAAUCAGUGAUGAAGUUAAAACUAAAGGGUACUAAAAUGAAAAUUUGAUAAACCUAGGUAGAAUAUCUGAAAUAUUUGGUAUAUAAUUUAACGAAAUAUUAAGCCACAAGGUACUAAAGUGAUAAAGUGCGAAACCACAGGGUACUAACAUGAUACACUUUAAGCCAUAGGGUAUUAAAGUGAGAAAGUGCGAAACCAAUGGUACUAACAUGAUACACUUUAAAUUACAAAAUACUAAAGUGAGAAAUGCGAAAUUACAAAGGUAUUUGAAUUUUUUCCUAUAUAAUAAUUUCAUUUCGUUUAAACCAAUGUCGUUGACCCAAAAGGCGUGUAAAAUUAGAUUUGAGUGCUGGCUACAUCAAAAAGAGUAAAAACCAUCAAUUAAAUUGAUACUAACUACCUAAUUGCCACGAAACCUUUGAAUGUUCUUUGAUACAUCCUAAAGCAUGGCUCUUUCUACUACUUUUUGCAGUUGCAAGAGAUUGGACCCCCUAAAAUCAGGGUAGUUAUCAAGAAGUAAGAAAUUCUGAGGGCAUUCAAUUACUCACAGCGACUUGAAUGAAAUGGCGGAGAAUAUGAAGAUGUUGAUAAGAUGAAACCCUCUGGACUCCAGUUGAGGGUUAUGCCAUCCUCUAACAGACCUCUUAUCGUGGAGUAACUUAGAUUCUGGGGUUCAUAAUCGCCGGUGAAAUCUAUGUAAGUAUCAUCUGCAACAUAGCAGCCCUUGUGGAGAUCACCAACUGAUAGUGAGCCCAGUAGAACAUAUGAGUAUGACGCAUCCUUGUUGCUGGUGUUCCUGCAAGAAGCUGUAGCUUUGUACAGAGAAUUAUUCACAAGAACUGAACAAUUCAAGAAGACCACACUGAUGAAAGAAUUUAGAUAAAAUGGUGUAUACCCCCACAAUGAAUUGGUAGAGAAGUAGUGAGGUAUGUAAGAACAAUUGUCUCCAAAUAUACCAGGAUCAACUAUUCUGAUUGAAUAGUCAUCAUAAAUAAUACUCUCUACAAAAUACUUCUUUGAAAACAAUUCUAUAGUGGUCUGAUUCUUUUCACAGAACAGUUGAAACGGUGAAUCUCCACAAAAUUCAAGAUCAUUUUGCAAGCAGAACGGAUAAGAGAUAUUUGGGAUAUUUCCACAGUCGCUUGCACAGCUGUAUCCAGGAACCAAGGUAAAGCCCGCAAGAAGAAGGUAUACUAUUUUAACGACUGACAGGGAGAACUCCAUGGUCAGAAAGCUCAGAGCACGCUGUUUCUGGUGUAAGUUCUGUAUCUUCUAUAAAUA